rnacentral:rRNA from 1 species
AUUGAACGCUGGCGGCAUGCCUUACACAUGCAAGCCGAACGGUAACAGGUUAAGCUGACGAGUGGCGAACGGGUGAGUAAUGUAUCGGAACGUGCCCAGUCGUGGGGGGAUAACUACUCGAAAGAGUGGCUAAUACCGCAUACGACCUGAGGGUGAAAGCGGGGGACCGUAAGGCCUCGCGCGAUUGGAGCGGCCGAUAUCAGAUUAGCUAGUUGGUGGGGUAAAAGCCCACCAAGGCGACGAUCUGUAGCUGGUCUGAGAGGACGACCAGCCACACUGGGACUGAGACACGGCCCAGACUCCUACGGGAGGCAGCAGUGGGGAAUUUUGGACAAUGGACGCAAGUCUGAUCCAGCCAUGCCGCGUGCGGGAAGAAGGGCCUUCGGGUUGUAACCGACUUUGUCAGGGAAGAAACGGGUUACGUCUAAUACAGAGACC